rnacentral:rRNA from 1 species
GGAAUUUUCCGCAAUGGGCGAAAGCCUGACGGAGCAACGCCGCGUGAGGGAUGAAGGCCUCUGGGCUGUAAACCUCUUUUCUCAAGGAAGAAGAUCUGACGGUACUUGAGGAAUAAGCCACGGCUAAUUCCGUGCCAGCAGCCGCGGUAAUACGGGAGUGGCAAGCGUUAUCCGGAAUUAUUGGGCGUAAAGCGUCCGCAGGCGGCCUGACAAGUCUGCUGUUAAAGCGUGGAGCUUAACUCCAUUUCAGCAGUGGAAACUGUCAGGCUUGAGUGUGGUAGGGGCAGAGGGAAUUCCCGGUGUAGCGGUGAAAUGCGUAGAUAUCGGGAAGAACACCAGUGGCGAAGGCGCUCUGCUGGGCCAUAACUGACGCUCAUGGACGAAAGCCAGGGGAGCGAAAGGGAUUAGAUACCCCAGUAGUC